AUUGAACGCUGGCGGCAGGCCUAACACAUGCAAGUCGAGCGGAUGAAGGGAGAUUGCUCCUGGCUUCAGCGGCGGACGGGUGAGUAAUGCCUAGGAAUCUGCCUGGUAGUGGGGGAUAACGUCCGGAAACGGGCGCUAAUACCGCACACGUCCUGAGGGAGAAAGUGGGGGAUCUUCGGACCUAACGCUAUCUGAUGAGCCUAGGUCGGAUUAGCUAGUUGGUGGGGUAAAGGCCUACCAAGGCGACGAUCCGUAACUGGUCUGAGAGGAUGAUCAGUCACACUGGAACUGAGACACGGUCCAGACUCCUACGGGAGGCAGCAGUGGGGAAUAUUGGACAAUGGGCGAAAGCCUGAUCCAGCCAUGCCGCGUGUGUGAAGAAGGUCUUCGGAUUGUAAAGCACUUUAAGUUGGGAGGAAGGGCAGUAAGUUAAUACCUUGCUGUUUUGACGUUACCAACAGAAAAAGCACCGGCUAACUUCGUG
rnacentral:rRNA from 1 species